rnacentral:RNase_P_RNA from 1 species
AAGUACUUAACUUUCGGCCUUCUGGCUGAGGAAAGUCCACCCACUAUAUGUGGCCACUCCCGAGAGAGAGUUCCUGAAAAGGAAGGCAACCACUCAGAAACGAGACAGCCAUUGAGGAGGAUGAUGCUUGCGAAGUCUUUGGCAACAAAGAUGAGAUAACCAGCAGACGUUCUUAAUGGAACUGGUGAAACGGUGAGUCCUGGCUUGUGCAAGUCAUAAUGACGCUUAGUUAAAUGUUAAGGCAGUCCUUACAUAUGUGGACUGACAAAAGGUGGCUUAUUCUU